CCGGGAGAUGACGUGGGGGAACGACCAUGAGUUUGAACUGUCUCGUGGAGUCUGAAACGUUCUUUAUGUCUAUGGUCCGAAAGCAUAACGUUAACUUAUCCCUGCUUCCCGGUUUCUGCCGGUUGUUGUUUUCGCUGUUCGCUGGUAAUGCAUGCUCAAGUGUGUGGUUGUGAGAUCAUCAUCUAGAAAUCCUUUUUAAAAGUUCAGAUAUUGGACUUCAAAGAGUGCUACAGAGAGUCAGCGUUUCACCAUCAGACAGUUGGUGUCUGAUAGGAACAACGUGAUGUAAAUAUGAGACGGGAUCUCGUCCUUCGUGCACUUCCUGUGUACCUGCGUGAAGAUGCCUCCAAGUUCUUCAGGACCUGUAAUGUAAGUGUACUGGCCUCACUAUCAAUCCCUUUGCCUAGCUAUUCAGUCAGCUUAAACAUAUGACAUCACUCCAAAAACUAUAGGAGAACCAGGCGGGUAUUUCAGAAAGCAGGUCAUGUGAACCCUGAGAUGAGGGAAACUCUUGAGUUAUCCAAAAGAGAAUUUUGAUUCAUUUAGAUGAGCUCUU